rnacentral:lncRNA from 1 species
CUUUAAAUCACCACUGGCAGUCACAGAGCUGACCCCUGUCUGCACCUUUCAGACACGGGUGAGGCAUUGUUUGAUGUCAGCUUUGCAGGCUCCUGCUCAGUAAUGCACAGGGGCUCCCACUGCCCACAGCCAUGAUUGGAGACAAAUGCCUAUUUCCUACCCAGUGAUCCUAAGACAACCUACAGUAGCAGGUUACAGCUGUAACAUGGAGAAGCUUAUAUGGUGA